GUGUGUGUGUGUGUGUGUGUGUAUAUAUAUAUUGUGUGUAUAUAUAUAUAUAUAUAUUGUGUAUAUAUACACACACACACACACACACAC